GACAGAGGCCCCAAGCGUUAGGCGGAAUCACUGGGCUUAAAGCGUGUGUAGGCGGAUCGUUAAGUGUCUUGUGAAAUCCCACGGCUCACCCGUGGAACUGCUGGGCAUACUGGCGAUCUUGGGCCAACUAGGGGCAGCCGGAACAAGCGGUGGAGCGGUGAAAUGCGUAGAUAUCAGGAGGAACACCGGUGGCGAAGGCGGGUCUCUGGGCCGAUACUGACGCUGAGGAGCGAAAGCGUGGGGAGCGAACAGG
rnacentral:rRNA from 1 species